GUGAACCUAUAUUCCCGCCCUCCGAAGGCAGGGGUUGCUGGUUCGAUCCCAGCCGGGCGCGCCA
rnacentral:tRNA from 1 species